rnacentral:rRNA from 1 species
GUUAGGAAUAUUGGACAAUGGGCGCAAGCCUGAUCCAGCCAUGCCGCGUGAGUGAUGAAGGCCUUCGGGUUGUAAAGCUCUUUAGUCCACGAAUAUAAUGACUGUAGUGGAAGAAUAAGCCCCGGCUAACUUCGUGCCAGCAGCCGCGGUAAUACGAAGGGGGCGAGCGUUAUUCGGAAUCACUGGGCGUAAAGCGUGCGUAGGCUGUUUUGUAAGUCAGAAGUGAAAGCCCAGGGCUUAACCCUGGAAUUGCUUUUGAAACUACAAGACUCGAAUUCGGGAGAGGAUAGCGGAAUUGUCAGUGUAGCAGUGAAAUGCGUAGAUAUUGACAGGAACACCAGUGGCGCAAGCGGCUAUCUGGGCCGAUAUUGACGCUGAGGCACGAAAGCGUGGGGAGCAAACAGGAUUAGAUACCCCUGUAGUCC